rnacentral:rRNA from 1 species
UACGUAGGGUGCGAGCGUUAAUCGGAAUUACUGGGCGUAAAGCGUGCGCAGGCGGUUCGCUAAGACCGAUGUGAAAUCCCCGGGCUUAACCUGGGAACUGCAUUGGUGACUGGCGGGCUAGAGUAUGGCAGAGGGGGGUAGAAUUCCACGUGUAGCAGUGAAAUGCGUAGAGAUGUGGAGGAAUACCGAUGGCGGAGGCAGCCCCCUGGGCCAAUACUGACGCUCAUGCACGAAAGCGUGGGGAGCAAACAGG